CAGUAGCCGCGGGAAAACGAAGGGGGCUAGCGUUGUUCGGAAUUACUGGGCGUAAAGCGCACGCAGGCGGCUCGAUAAAUUAGAAGUGAAAGCCCUGGGCUUAACCUGAGAAUUGCUUUUAAGACUGUCGAGCUAGAAUCCAGAAGAGGGUAGUGGAAUUCCGAGUGUAGAGGUGAAAUUCGUAGAUAUUCGGAAGAACACCAGUGGCGAAGGCGACUACCUGGUCUGGCAUUGACGCUCAUGUGCGAAAGCGUGGGGAGCAAACAGGAUUAGAUACCCGAGUAGUCCCUGUCUCUUAUAC
rnacentral:rRNA from 1 species